CCUACGGGCGGCAGCAGUGGGGAAUAUUGGACAAUGGGGGCAACCCUGAUCCAGCCAUGCCGCGUGUGUGAAGAAGGCCCUCGGGUUGUAAAGCACUUUCAGUGAGGAAGAACGCCUGGUGGUUAAUACCCAUCAGGAAAGACAUCACUCACAGAAGAAGCACCGGCUAACUCCGUGCCAGCAGCCGCGGUAAUACGGAGGGUGCGAGCGUUAAUCGGAAUUACUGGGCGUAAAGCGCGCGUAGGUGGCUUGAUAGGCCGGUUGUGAAAGCCCCGGGCUCAACCUGGGAACGGCAUCCGGAACUGUCAAGCUAGAGUGCAGGAGAGGAAGGUAGAAUUCCCGGUGUAGCGGUGAAAUGCGUAGAGAUCGGGAGGAAUACCAGUGGCGAAGGCGGCCUUCUGGACUGACACUGACACUGAGGUGCGAAAGCGUGGGUAGCAAACAGGAUUAGAUACCCUUGUAGUC
rnacentral:rRNA from 1 species